rnacentral:rRNA from 1 species
AGCGAACGCUGGCGGCAGGCCUAACACAUGCAAGUCGAACGAACCCUUCGGGGUUAGUGGCGGACGGGUGAGUAACACGUGGGAACGUGCCUUUAGGUUCGGAAUAACUCAGGGAAACUUGUGCUAAUACCGAAUGUGCCCUUCGGGGGAAAGAUUUAUCGCCUUUAGAGCGGCCCGCGUCUGAUUAGCUAGUUGGUGAGGUAAUGGCUCACCAAGGCUACGAUCAGUAGCUGGUCUGAGAGGAUGACCAGCCACAUUGGGACUGAGACACGGCCCAAACUCCUACGGGAGGCAGCAGUGGGGAAUCUUGCGCAAUGGGCGAAAGCCUGACGCAGCCAUGCCGCGUGAAUAAUGAAGGUCUUAGGAUUGUAAAAUUCUUUUACCAGGGACGAUAAUGACGGUACCUGGAGAAAAAGCCCCGGCUAACUUCGUGCCAGCAGCCGCCGUAACAC